UGGCCUACGGGAGGCUGCAGUGGGGAAUAUUCCGCAAUGGACGAAAGUCUGACGGAGCAACGCCGCGUGAGUGAUGAAGGUUUUCGGACUGUAAAGCUCUGUUGUUUAGGACGAAAGUGCCUGUUGCAAAUAGUUACAGGUAUUGACGGUACUGAACGAGGAAGCCACGGCUAACUACGUGCCAGCAGCCGCGGUAAUACGUAGGUGGCAAGCGUUGUCCGGAAUUAUUGGGCGUAAAGAGCAUGUAGGCGGGAAUCUAAGUCUGUUGUGAAAAUGCGGGGCUCAACCCCGUAUUGCGAUGGAAACUGGGUUUCUUGAGUGCAGGAGAGGAAAGGGGAAUUCCCAGUGUAGCGGUGAAAUGCGUAGAUAUUGGGAGGAACACCAGUGGCGAAGGCGCCUUUCUGGACUGUGUCUGACGCUGAGAUGCGAAAGCCAGGGUAGCGAACGGGAUUAGAUACCCUUGUAGUCGAG
rnacentral:rRNA from 1 species